AAUAGAUACCCGGGUAGUCCAUGCUGUAAACGAUGAGUGCUCAUAUUUAGAAUUUUUAGAUAUUAAGCUAACGCGUUAAGCACUCCGCCUGAAAAGUAUAAUCGCAAGAUUGAAAUUCAAAGGAAUUGACGGGAGUCUACACAAGCGGUGGAGCAUGUGGUUUAAUUCGAUAAUACGCGCAGAACCUUACCAACUCUUGCAAAUUUUAUUAUAAAAUUUAUUAUAAUAAAAACAGGCGUUGCAUGGCUGUCGUCAGCUCGUGUUGUGAAAUGUUUGGUUAAAUCCUUUAACGAGCGCAACCCCUAUUAUUAAUUGCUACUUUUAUUAUAAAAAAUUUUUUAUAAAAAAGCACUUUAAUAAAAUGUCAAUGAUAGGUUGAAGGAAGGUAGGGAUGACGUCAAGUCUUCAUGGCCCUCAUGAGUUGGGCUACACACGUGCUACAAUGAUAAUUACAAUGAGAGGCAAUAAUGAUUAAAAGUUGGAGCAAAUCUUUAAAAGAUUAUCUUAGUUCGGAUUAUGGGCUGCAACUCGCCCAUAUGAAGUUGG
rnacentral:rRNA from 1 species